rnacentral:rRNA from 1 species
UCGAGAAUUUUUCUCAAUGGGGGAAACCCUGAAGGAGCGACGCCGCGUGGAGGAUGAAGGUCUUCGGAUUGUAAACUCCUGUCAUUUGGGAACAAUUGUCACCGAUUAACUGUCGGGGGCUUGAUAGUACCAGAAGAGGAAGAGACGGCUAACUCUGUGCCAGCAGCCGCGGUAAUACAGAGGUCUCAAGCGUUGUUCGGAUUCAUUGGGCGUAAAGGGUGCGUAGGUGGCGGGGUAAGUCUGGUGUGAAAUCUCGGGGCUCAACCCCGAAACUGCACUGGAUACUGCCUUGCUCGAGUACUGGAGAGGAGAUUGGAAUUUACGGUGUAGCAGUGAAAUGCGUAGAUAUCGUAAGGAAGACCAGUGGCGAAGGCGAAUCUCUGGACAGUUACUGACACUGAGGCACGAAGGCCAGGGGAGCAAACGGGGAUUAGGAUACCCCGGUAGUCCUGGCAGUAAACGGUGCGCGUUUGGUGUGGGAGGAUUCGA